rnacentral:rRNA from 1 species
UAGGGAAUUUUCGUCAAUGGGCGCAAGCCUGAACGAGCGAUGCCGCGUGAGUGAAGAAGGCCUUCGGUCGUAAAGCUCUGUUGCGGGGGAAAAAAGGCAGCAUCAGGAAAUGGGUGCUAAGCUGAUGGUGCCCCGCCAGAAAGUCACGGCUAACUACGUGCC